AUACGGAGGGAGCUAGCGUUGUUCGGAUUUACUGGGCGUAAAGCGCGCGUAGGCGGAUUGAUUAGUCAGAGGUGAAAUCCCAGGGCUCAACCCUGGAACUGCCUUUGAUACUGUCAGUCUAGAGACCGAGAGAGGUGAGUGGAAUUUCCAGUGUAGAGGUGAAAUUCGUAGAUAUUGGAAAGAACACCAGUGGCGAAGGCGGCUCACUGGCUCGGUACUGACGCUGAGGUGCGAAAGCGUGGGGAGCAAACAGGAUUAGAUACCCUAGUAGUCC
rnacentral:rRNA from 1 species